GCGGAAAGUUUAAUCUAAGUAACUGUUGUCUGCACAUAGAUGAUGAAGGGCAGGCAGUGGCUGAACUUACAAGCCACAUGGUUAAAUUUGAGCAUGUACCUACUCAGGUCUGGAAUGGGUAUAACCUAAGUAGUUGGUUUGGAAGUUGGUAUGAGCAGCUUGGAGGAAUUAAGACAUUAGUAGGAGGAGUAGAACUUAUUAUAUUUUUUUUUGUGCCUCCUCCUGCCCUGUCUAAUUCCACUAGUGGUAAGGUCCCUACGUAGCAUUAUAGAGAGUACUAUAGAGAGAAAGACAGCUGCCCAUGUAAUGGCUGUCUGGAAGAUAUGAUCCCCUAGCCCGAAGAGAAUAUAUUCAGGAUGAAGAAUGUUGAAGGAGUUUUUAAGAUGCUUACAAGGUCUACUCUGGUUCAAUGGCUACUUGAGAGAUGUAGGUAAAACUGUGAUUGGUGAUGCAUCUGGAAUAAUGUUAUAUCAGAGGCAUCAAAAGGGGGGAAUGUGAUGGGAUUCCAGCAUGGUCAAAAUUUAGUAGGCCAAAAUUUCCAUGUGGCAUAUGUGUAUGUUGUGUCAGUUGGUUAGCUACAUGUAGCUAGGAUACUGUCAUCAGUGUACUGAGCAUGUGCAGGAAUGCAGGAACUGAAAUUGCACUUAUUUCCUUUGUCUUGGAUGAGCC